CGUAAUAAGUUUCGUCUCUCCUUGUGGUGAUGACUGCUCAAAACCUGCCAUCGCGCACCUUUUGACUUUGACCUGAAAUCAGGUAGGGCUACCCGCUGAACUUAAGCAUAUCAAUAAGCGGAGGAAAAGAAACUAACAAGGAUUCCCCUAGUAACGGCGAGUGAACCGGGAAGAGCUCAAAUUUGAAAUCUGGCGUGCUCAGUGCGUCCGAGUUGUAAUCUAUAGAGUCGUUUUCCGUGCCGGACUGUGUCCAAGUCCCUUGGAACAGGGUAUCAAAGAGGGUGAUAAUCCCGUACUUGACACAAUGACCGGUGCUCUGUGAUACGUCUUCUACGAGUCGAGUUGUUUGGGAAUGCAGCUCAAAAUGGGUGGUGAGUUCCAUCUAAAGCUAAAUAUUGGCGAGAGACCGAUAGCGAACAAGUACCGUGAGGGAAAGAUGAAAAGCACUUUGGAAAGAGAGUUAAACAGUACGUGAAAUUGUUAAAAGGGAAACGAUUGAAGUCAGUCGUGACUGAGAGGCUCAGCCGGUUCUGCCGGUGUAUUCCCCUCAGUCGGGUCAACAUCAGUUUUGUUCGGUGGAUAAGGGCAGUUGGAAGGUGGCACCCUCGGGUGUGUUAUAGCCAGCUGUCGCAUACAUCGGAUGAGACUGAGGAAUGCAGCUCGCCUUUAUGGCCGGGGUUCGCCCACG
rnacentral:rRNA from 1 species